UAUCUAUGUGCAAAGUGUUAAGCAGAAAUACUAGUCAAUGGCCAAUCGACUGGCAGUACUAUGCCUAAUCACGGGCUGGCCUGCCUAUUAUUUCCCCGUGCCCCGCUUGUUUUUCGCCUUUGCCUGCCUUGCCCAAUUACAACAAGGGCUUUAGGUGGACCCGAGGAAAACAAGCCGAAACUCUAACGAAUGGGCGCCGAGCCGGUGGCCGCCGGCGGGCGACCUAACGCGUGCAGAUACAUCGCGGUGGGUAUCGGCCAUCGCAUCUUCUGGCCCGAUCGAGGGCCCAGCGCAACGGCACAAGAAGAAGCAAAUCUUGAAUCGAUCUGCAUAUUGUGAAGUUAGGCAUCGGUGGAUCGGUGGAUAGAUGGCACUUCAUGAUUAAUUCCAUAUGUCCUUCGAUGGAUCUUCUGUUCUUACGUGCUGUCUCCAUUGAUCAGAUGUUCUACUGACAAAGACUCCUUAAUUUCCCCUUCGUUUCUUACAGAAAGUGCAAGUCAGUACAUCAGGACGGGCUGGAUCGCUGUAGGUGAAACAGGUGAUCGCACUUCUAAUGUUUCAGGGCCGACGGUGUUAGGGUUGAAAUUUGGGCGUGAUCCCGUUCAUCCUGCUCCCAUACCCCGCUCGAUCCUGCCGGCGGCGGGCAAGAUAGCCCACCUGCUGCUCUGUCUGCCGUCCUUCCCGGCUGCGCCCCCACCCGAUCUGCCGCUCGCGCUCCCAGGCGCGCUCCUGUCUCUGCCACCUCCCCAAGUCGUGGUGCGUCUCCCCCCUUCCACGCUGCUGGACCCAGACGUUGCCUCUACCGUUGCUCUUCCAUGGCCUCCCCUAGCCACAAGGUGACGACGACACAUUAUGUAGACUCACAGUUAAGGAAGUUUCUUAAGUAUACUACCCGCUUGAC